GUGAGGAAGUUCGGUCUGGGUGGCAAGAAGACGGCUCCGGGCUGAUCUGACCCACUGAAGCAGUAAGCAUCCUUAUUUUGGCGUUUGCCAGCUGUGAGGUCAGGACCGCCUGGGUGCAGUCAGCUCUGGGAACAGCUGCCACCUGCAGUCUGUAGCGGGAAGCGAGCCGCGCGUCUCCAGGCGCUUCUCAGUUCAGCACUCUGGUUGGAGUUCUUGAAGACAGGGCCACGCGGGCAGCUGUAGUGUUUAUCUCGAAGCCCAGUGCCAUCUGACUGGGUUCCGCGCUAGCACUGGGUGACCUAAUACAUGGCCACCAGGCGGCACCUCUCCCUACGGCAGACACACAGUUCCCUAGGCUUCAGACUGUCUCCAUUUCCACUUCCAUAUGGCAUCGUCAAGUAAUGCUCCUAAACUGAGCUUCUCCCACUAGCAUGCUGACACUAUAGUAUGGGGUUUUUCUUUUUCUUUAUUAUUUACUCCCUUUUGUUGCCCUUGUUUUAUUGGUGUAGUUAUCAUUGUUGUUAUUGAUGUUGUUGUUCUUGGAUAGGACAGAGAGAAAUGGAGAGAGGAGGGGAAGACAGAGAGAGGGAGAGAAAGACAGACACCUGCAGACCUGCUUCACCACCUGGGAAGCGACUCCCCUGCAGGUGGGGAGCCGGGGCUCGAACCAGGAUCCUUAUGCCGGUCCUUGCGCUUUUGGCCACCUGCACUUAACCCGCUGUGCUACUGCCCGACUCCCCCCCUUUUUAGAUUUUUAAAGCAGGAGAACACUUGAACGUUUCGGUGUGGGUCUAAGCUCCGAUUUAAACAGGACAGUGGCUCAUAGAAUGACCGAUGUUUGCUUUCCUGAGCAAUUGGAUUAGUCAAGAUCAGAAAGUUUUCUUGUAGAAAUGGAUGGUUUUAUUUAACUUUUGUAUUUAAAACUUUAAAAAGUUUAUAAGUAUGCCGAUAAUUCGUGCUUGUGAAAUUUUUAAGUUGACCGUCUGUGUGACUGUGUACUGUCACCAAGUGCAACAUGACAGGUUUCCCGAACAAUCCUGGGCACGGAUCUCACCCCGCUACUCAGCACCCCAGCGAGUCCUCCACACCCUGGCACGCCCACCAGCCCGCUCGCUCCUUUGACAGGACUUUACCUGGGCUAUGGCUACCAUGGGAUUACAGCUUUUGUUUUUUAAGUUAAAAUUGUCCAUCAGUACUGUUGCCUUUCAGGAAUCAUCUUAUAGGUAGUACUCAGUGGGACCACUAGGAAGUAGCUGCAAGUAUUUACAGUUGGAGUAGACAGUGUAAGACGCUGCUGCAGACGUGAGUUUAGCUGGAGCAUUUGCAGACGUUACUAAGCCUGAGAACACACCGUUGGGGUUCAGAGAAUAUGGACAUCCAGUGUGCAGACGGUGUAUCAUGCUCAUCAAAUCAGACACUGGGAAGCUUUGCUUGUCAGGUCAAGCAUUUCCAGUGUGAUUUUGAGGGAAAUCUUAAGUCUUAAGUGUAUAAAUGCUGCUGACCUCUCGAGAGGAUUUGGGUUGUAAAGAGCUAUUUAAAGAAAAGUCUGCUUUACUUAAAUGAACUAGCAAACCUGGUACCCUUAAAGUGAUUAUUAAAAUGUACUAGCUUUCUAAAUGGAA